rnacentral:rRNA from 1 species
GACGAACGCUGGCGGCGUGCCUAAUACAUGCAAGUAGAACGCACAGUUUAUACCGUAGCUUGCUACACCAUAGACUGUGAGUUGCGAACGGGUGAGUAACGCGUAGGUAACCUGCCUGGUAGCGGGGGAUAACUAUUGGAAACGAUAGCUAAUACCGCAUAAUAUUAAUUAUUGCAUGAUAAUUAAUUAAAAGGUGCAAUUGCACCACUACCAGAUGGACCUGCGUUGUAUUAGCUAGUAGGUGAGGUAACGGCUCACCUAGGCGACGAUACAUAGCCGACCUGAGAGGGUGAUCGGCCACACUGGGACUGAGACACGGCCCAGACUCCUACGGGAGGCAGCAGUAGGGAAUCUUCGGCAAUGGACGAAAGUCUGACCGAGCAACGCCGCGUGAGUGAAGAAGGGUUUCGGAUCGUAAAGCUCGGUUGUAAGAGAAGAACGGGUGUGAGAGUGGAAAGUUCACACUGUGACGGUAUCUUACCAGAAAGGGACGGCUAACUACGUG